GUGGGGAAUCUUGCGCAAUGGGCGAAAGCCUGACGCAGCCAUGCCGCGUGAAUGAUGAAGGUCUUAGGAUUGUAAAAUUCUUUCACCGGGGACGAUAAUGACGGUACCCGGAGAAGAAGCUCCGGCUAACUUCGUGCCAGCAGCCGCGGUAAUACGAAGGGGGCUAGCGUUGCUCGGAAUUACUGGGCGUAAAGGGCGCGUAGGCGGACAGCUUAGUCAGAGGUGAAAGCCCAGGGCUCAACCUUGGAAUUGCCUUUGAUACUGGCUGUCUUGAGUUUGGGAGAGGUGAGUGGAACUCCGAGUGUAGAGGUGAAAUUCGUAGAUAUUCGGAAGAACACCAGUGGCGAAGGCGACACACUGGCUCAUUACUGACGCUGAGGCGCGAAAGCGUGGGGAGCAAACAGGAUUAGAAACCCUGGUAGUCC
rnacentral:rRNA from 1 species